CUCGUAGGCGGUUUGUUGCGUCGGCUGUGAAAUCCCGAGGCUCAACCUCGGGUCUGCAGUCGAUACGAGCAAACUAGAGUGUUGCAGGGGAGACUGGAAUUCCUGGUGUAGCGGUGAAAUGCGCAGAUAUCAGGAGGAACACCGGUGGCGAAGGCGGGUCUCUGGGCAACAACUGACGCUGAGGAGCGAAAGCGUGGGGAGCGAACA
rnacentral:rRNA from 1 species